rnacentral:lncRNA from 1 species
ACCAUUCCUUGUGAAUGCAGGUACACGGAAAUGAGGAGAGGAAGGCCCCCACUAAAUCGAGCAGCUCAAGAUAAUUCGCUUCGGGAGGAUUUAGACAGAUUAUUUGAGAUGGUGGAAGCUCUCGUAGCUGCCCAGCAAAGGCGAGAGGAGAGAAGGGAGUUACCCGGACCUCCUCCGCUAUCGCAGGUUGAGCCCCCGCUACAGCAGGCUGAUCCCGAGCCACCCCGGCAGGAGCCUGCUCCUCCACAAUACCACCCGGCACCACAGCCGCGGUACGACC